rnacentral:rRNA from 1 species
UACAGAGGGUGCAAGCGUUGUUCGGAAUUAUUGGGCGUAAAGGGCGCGUAGGCGGUGCCACAAGUCACCUGUGAAAUCCCUCGGCUUAACCGGGGAACUGCGUCUGAUACUGGAUGGCUAGAGGUUGGGAGAGGGUUGUGGAAUUCCCAGUGUAGAGGUGAAAUUCGUAGAUAUUGGGAAGAACACCGGUGGCGAAGGCGGCAACCUGGUCCUUUACUGACGCUGAGGCGCGAAAGCGUGGGGAGCAAACAGG